rnacentral:rRNA from 1 species
GACGAACGCUGGCGGCGUGCUUAACACAUGCAAGUCGAACGGUAAGGCCCUUCGGGGUACACGAGUGGCGAACGGGUGAGUAACACGUGGGUGAUCUGCCCUGCACUUCGGGAUAAGCCUGGGAAACUGGGUCUAAUACCGGAUAGGACUCCGGACUGCAUGGUCUGGGGUGGAAAGCUUUUGCGGUGUGGGAUGGGCCCGCGGCCUAUCAGCUUGUUGGUGGGGUGAUGGCCUACCAAGGCGACGACGGGUAGCCGGCCUGAGGGGGUGACCGGCCACACUGGGACUGAGGUACGGCCCAGACUCCUACGGGAGGCAGCAGUGGGGAAUAUUGCACAAUGGGCGCAAGCCUGAUGCAGCGACGCCGCGUGAGGGAUGACGGCCUUCGGGUUGUAAACCUCUUUCAGCAUCGACGAAGCGAAAGUGACGGUAGGUGCAGAAGAAGGACCGGCCAACUACGUGCCAGCCGCCGCGGUAA